GGAUGCGAUCAUACCAGCACUAAAGCACCGGAUCCCAUCAGAACUCCGAAGUUAAGCGUGCUUGGGUGAGAGUAGUACUAGGAUGGGUGACCUCCUGGAAGUCCUCGUGUUGCAUUCC
rnacentral:rRNA from 1 species